rnacentral:rRNA from 1 species
AUGGCAGCUCGGUUCCCUGUGAAGAAGAAGAGAACAAGGGGGGAGCUACACGUAAGAAAGAGAGAAAGAAGGAAGGGAAAAGAGCAGGGGAGGAAGGGCGCAGGGCACGGCCUGAUUCGGUGGUGGUGGUUGAGGUCGCUAGCGGCGGCGAUGGGCACUCGGUUCCCUGUGAAGAAGAAGAGAACAAGGGGAGAGCUACACGUAAGAGAGAGAGAAAGAAGGAAGGGAAAAGAGCAGGGGAGGAAGGGCGCAGGGCACGGCCUGAUUCGGUGGUGGUGGUUGAGGUCGCUAGCGGCGGCGAUGGGCAGUUGGCUCGGGCAUUGGUUGGCCAUCGGGAGCGGGGAGAAGGGGACAGGGAGCAGGGGCUCUGGUUGGUGUGGUGGUGAAAGCGAGGAGGGGCUUUGGAUCGGGGAGGAAGAGGAUUGGAUCUGGAUCCCGAGGAAAAUAUGGUAG